GCCUUCUUAGCUCAGGGGUAGAGCGUUUCACUCGUAAGCUUAUGUGUAAGAUUACAUGAAAAGGCCGCUAGUUCGAAUCUGGUAGGAGGCA